CGGGGUGUAGCGCAGCCUGGUAGCGUACACGUCUGGGGGGCGUGUGGUCGCAAGUUCAAAUCUUGUCACCCCGA
rnacentral:tRNA from 1 species